UGGGGGCGCAGUCACGCCGGGGCCGACCGGCCGCGAACGCCCGCGGGGAGCGGGAGAGGGUUUGCUCUGGCUACGGAGCUGGGAGCAGGGUGCUGGUGACGGGGCUCCCAGCACCUACUCAGUACCCUUCACCCAACCCCUGCCUCGGGCGUGGACUCCCGGCGGAGGCUCUGGGAGCCGGGCUGAGGGCUUGAGCCUAGCGUAUCUGGGAGAACUGGAGAGAGGAGUCUCAGAUGGCUAAAGUCAGGGGCGCCAGUUGGAGAGCCGGUGGCUCCUCCGAUACUCACACGCCCGGAUUUAACCAGUUCAGGGAGGGCCCAGAACCUAGACCUCCACCAGUCAUGGUGGGCUGUGUCUCCCACCUCCCCAGGGCAACCCAGAUCCAGCCCCCAACCUACCCCGGGCCCAUUCCUGUGUGGGCACCCGGACCCUACCCUUGCCCCACAGAGUGGCCCGCAGCCCCUGGCGGGGAGAGCAAGGGCUGUGAUUGGGGCCCAACAGAAACAGGAUAUUCAGAAGGGGCUUUCCCUCCUGAGGGACCACAUCUCCAAGCUUCAGACUUCCAGACAAGUCCCAGGGCACGGACGUGACCCAUUACGAACAGGCAGUGAAGCUGUGGCAGGGCUGGAGCUGCCCCAGGCUCUGGCAUCAUCCCCGAGGGCUGGAGCUCACUCCCCGCUAGAGGCUUUUCCGGACCCCACGUCCACAGGCAGGUGCAUCUGGUGAAGCUUUCGGCCACAGUGAGUCAUGGCAUAGCCAACGGGUGACACAGCACGAGGCACCCCCCCCGCCCCCCUCCACUGUCUCUUGUGAGCAGAGUUAAUCCCCAAGCUGGUGUUUCUUGGCGCCUUCGAGGUGUAUUUUAAAUUCUGCAAAGUGACUAAAAAUAUGCUUCAGCGUGCUGGGUAUGAAUGACUGUGACGGGAGGGUUAGGAAAACAGAUUUCAUUCUCAAAGUUGCCUGCUGCCUCUUUCCAGCUCGCUGAGCUCAGGCCUGCAAAGGCGGAUGGGGGGAGUUCCCCAUGGUGGCCUGGCAUGACGGGUGAUUAACAAACAAGGACAGAGAGCUAGGAGCUCCGUGGGGCUAGAACCCGGCCCCAGCAAUGAUCUCGUUGGAGUGCAGUGGUGCCAUCUCCCUUCACGACGAACUCCACCCCCCAUCCCCAGGAUCAAGCGAUCCUCCCACCUCAGCCUCCCAGAGCUGGGACCACAGAUGCGUGCCACCACGCC
rnacentral:lncRNA from 1 species